UACGGAGGAUCCAAGCGUUAUCCGGAUUUAUUGGGUUUAAAGGGAGCGUAGGCGGAUUGAUAAGUUAGAGGUGAAAUGUCCGAGCUCAACUCGGGAACUGCCUCUAAUACUGUUGAUCUAGAGAGUAGAUGCGGUAGGCGGAAUGUAUGGUGUAGCGGUGAAAUGCUUAGAGAUCAUACAGAACACCGAUUGCGAAGGCAGCUUACCAAUCUAUAUCUGACGUUGAGGCACGAAAGCGUGGGGAGCAAACAGG
rnacentral:rRNA from 1 species